UGCAAGUCGAACGGUGAUGGAGGAGCUUGCUUCUCCUGAUCAGUGGCGAACGGGUGAGUAACACGUGAGUAACCUGCCCUUGACUCUGGGAUAACUCCGGGAAACCGGGGCUAAUACUGGAUACGAAGCGCCUCGGCAUCGGGUGCGCUUGGAAAGUUUUUCGGUCAAGGAUGGACUCGCGGCCUAUCAGCUUGUUGGCGGGGUAACGGCCCACCAAGGCGUCGACGGGUAGCCGGCCUGAGAGGGCGACCGGCCACACUGGGACUGAGACACGGCCCAGACUCCUACGGGAGGCAGCAGUGGGGAAUAUUGCACAAUGGGCGAAAGCCUGAUGCAGCGACGCCGCGUGAGGGAUGAAGGCCUUCGGGUUGUAAACCUCUUUCAGUAGGGAAGAAGCGAAAGUGACGGUACCUGCAGAAGAAGCGCCGGCUAACUACGUGCCAGCAGCCGCGGUAAUACGUAGGGCGCAAGCGUUGUCCGGAAUUAUUGGGCGUAAAGAGCUCGUAGGCGGUUUGUCGCGUCUGGUGUGAAAACUCAAGGCUCAACCUUGAGCUUGCAUCGGGUACGGGCAGACUAGAGUGCGGUAGGGGUGACUGGAAUUCCUGGUGUAGCGGUGGAAUGCGCAGAUAUCAGGAGGAACACCGAUGGCGAAGGCAGGUCACUGGGCCGCAACUGACGCUGAGGAGCGAAAGCAUGGGGAGCGAACAGGAUUAGAUACCCUGGUAGUCCAUGCCGUAAACGUUGGGCACUAGGUGUGGGGCUCAUUCCACGAGUUCCGUGCCGCAGCAAACGCAUUAAGUGCCCGGCCUGGGGGAGUACGGCCGCAAGGCUAAAACUCAAAGGAAUUGACGGGGGCCCGCACAAGCGGCGGAGCAUGCGGAUUAAUUCGAUGCAACGC
rnacentral:rRNA from 1 species